UUUGACGUUAGCGACAGAAGAAGCACCGGCUAACUCCGUGCCAGCAGCCGCGGUUAAUACGGAGGGUGCGAGCGUUAAUCGGAAUUACUGGGCGUAAAGCGCAUGCAGGUGGUUUGUUAAGUCAGAUGUGAAAGCCCCGGGGCUCAACCCUCGGAAUUGCAUUUGAAACUGGCAGGCUAGAGUCUUGUAGAGGGGGUAGAAUUUCAGGUGUAGCGGUGAAAUGCGUAGAGAUCUGAAGGAAUACCAGUGGCGAAGGCGGCCCCCUGGACAAAGACUGACGCUCAGAUGCGAAAGCGUGGGAGCAAACAGGAUUAGAUACCCUGGUAG
rnacentral:rRNA from 1 species